CCAAUAGCGUAUAUUAAAGUUGUUGCAGUUAAAAAGCUCGUAGUUGAAUUUCGGGAUUGGCGCAUCGGUCGUGCCUCACGGGGUAUGAACUGGUGCAGUCAAUUUCUCACCUUCUGGAGAACCGCGAUGUCCUUAAUUGGAUGCCGCGGGGAACCAGGACCUUUACUUUGAAAAAAUUAGAGUGUUUAAAGCAGGCAUUUUUGCUUGAAUACAUUAGCAUGGAAUAAUAAAAUAGGACGGCAUGGUUCUAUUUUGUUGGUUUCUAGGACCACCGUAAUGAUUAAUAGGGAUAGUUGGGGGCAUUAGUAUUCAAUUGUCAGAGGUGAAAUUCUUGGAUUUAUUGAAGACUAACUACUGCGAAAGCAUUUGCCAAGGAUGUUUUCAUUAAUCAAGAACGAAAGUUAGGGGAUCGAAGACGAUCAGAUACCGUCGUAGUCUUAACCAUAAACUAUGCCGACUAGGAAUCAGACGAUGUUAAUUUUUUAAUGACUCGUUUGGCACCUUAUG
rnacentral:misc_RNA from 1 species